GUCUAAACGACUCUCGGCAACGGAUAUCUCGGCUCUCGCAUCGAUGAAGAACGUAGCGAAAUGCGAUACUUGGUGUGAAUUGCAGAAUCCCGUGAACCAUCGAGUCUUUGAACGCAAGUUGCGCCCGAAGCCUUCUGGCCGAGGGCACGCCUGCCUGGGCGUCAC
rnacentral:rRNA from 4 species